rnacentral:rRNA from 1 species
AGUGAAUAGAUACCCCGGUAGUCCACGCCGUAAACUAUGAUUACUCGAUGUUGGCGAUACAUUGUCAGCGUCUAAAGCGAAAGUGUUAAGUAAUCCACCUGGGGAGUACGUCGGCAACGAUGAAACUCAAAGGAAUUGACGGGGGCCCGCACAAGCGGAGGAGCAUGUGGUUUAAUUCGAUGAUACGCGAGGAACCUUACCUAGGCUUAAAUGUAGAGUGAUCUUCUGGGAAACCGGAAUUCUCUUCGGAGCAAUCUACAAGGUGUUGCAUGGUUGUCGUCAGCUCGUGCCGUGAGGUGUCGGGUUAAGUCCCUUAACGAGCGCAACCCUCAUCCUUAGUUGCCAUCAGGUAAUGCUGGGGACUCUAAGGAAACUGCCUACGCAAGUAGUGAGGAAGGCGAGGAUGACGUCAAAUCAGCACGGCCCUUAUGUCUAGGGCUACACACGUGCUACAAUGGCUAGUACAAAGGGUUGCUACCUGGCGACAGGAUGCUAAUCUCUAAAACUAGUCUCAGUUCGGAUCGAAGUCUGC